AAGUCGUAACAAGGUUUUCGUAGGUGAACCUGCAGAAAGAUCAUUAGAAAAUACCAGCUUUGGCUGGUAAAAAAAAAAUCUAUCCACCUUGUGUGCAAACAAUGGAAAAGAAAGAAAAUUGGAACGAAUGUUCAUUUUUUUUUUUUUUAUAAAUACCAUCAAAAUUUUAAUGCAAUAAAAAAGAAAUUAUACAAUUUCAACAACGGAUCUCUUGGCUCUC
rnacentral:misc_RNA from 1 species